GUUCUCACUUUAGCAUUACAUAUACUAAAUUGAAAUGACUUAGAGAAAAUUAACAUGGCACCUGUGCAAGAAUAAUAUGAAAAUACUCGAACUUAUUCCAUAAUUUU